rnacentral:rRNA from 1 species
AAUACAGAAGAACUAGCAGGAUUCCCCUAGUAACUGCGAGUGAAGCGGGAAAAGCUCAAAUUUAAAAUCUGGCAGCCUUUGGUUGUCCGAGUUGUAUUCUGGAGAAGUGUUUUCCGUGCUGGACCGUGUACAAGUCUCUUGGAAUAGAGCGUCAUAGAGGGUGAGAAUCCCGUCUUUGACACGGACUACCAGUGCUUUGUGAUGCGCUCUCAAAGAGUCGAGUUGUUUGGGAAUGCAGCUCAAAAUGGGUGGUGAAUUCCAUCUAAAGCUAAAUAUUGGCGAGAGACCGAUAGCGAACAAGUACCGUGAGGGAAAGAUGAAAAGCACUUUGGAAAGAGAGUUAAACAGUACGUGAAAUUGCUGAAAGGGAAACGCUUGAAGUCAGUCGUGUUGUCUGGAACUCAGCCUUGCUUUUUGCUUGGUGUACUUUCUAGAUGGCAGGCCAGCAUCAAUUUUGACUGUUGGAAAAGGGCUGGAGUAAUGUGGCACCUCCGGGUGUGUUAUAGACUCUGGUUAUAUACAGCAGUUGGGAUUGAGGAACGCAGUGCGCCGCAAGGCAGGGGGUUAACCCACUUUCGCACUUUGGAUGCUGGCAUAAUGGCUUUAAACGACCCGUCUUGAAACACGGACCAAGGAGUCUAACAUACCUGCGAGUGUUUGGGUGGUAAACCCGAGCGCGUAAUGAAAGUGAAAGUUGAGACCUCUGUCGUGGAGGGCAUCAACGCCCGGACCUGACGUUUUCUGAAGGAUCCGCGGUAGAGCAUGCAUGUUGGGACCCGAAAGAUGGUGAACUAUGCCUGAAUAGGGUGAAGCCAGAGGAAACUCUGGUGGAGGCUCGUAGCGAUUCUGACGUGCAAAUCGAUCGUCAAAUUUGGGUAUAGGGGCGAAAGACUAAUCGAAC